rnacentral:snRNA from 1 species
GGAUGUGAGGGCGGGGACAUCUGUCACCCCAUUGAUCGCCAGGGUUGAUUCGGCUGAUCUGGCUGGCUAGGCAGGUGUCCCCUUCCUCCCUCACCGCUCCAUGUGCGUCCCUUCUGAAGCUGCAUGCUCGUCAAAGAGGAUGACCUUCCCCAAUAGGGGUGUGUACUGUUCAUUGGUCGAGGGUAUAAGGUAGCUGCGCUCCCCUGAUAGAACCUCCAAACAAGCUCAAGGUCCAUUUGUAGGAGAAUGUUGGGUAGUCAAGCUUCCAAGACUGCAGACACAUCCAGGUGAGGCACUGCAUGGGGCAGUCUGCCAUUGUUU